AUUGAACGCUGGCGGCAUGCCUUACACAUGCAAGUCGAACGGCAGCGGGCCUUCGGGUGCCGGCGAGUGGCGAACGGGUGAGUAAUGCAUCGGAACGUGCCAUUGAGUGGGGGAGUAACGUAGCGAAAGUUAGCGCUAAUACCGCAUAUUCUGUGAGCAGGAAAGACAGGGACCGGCAAGGCCUUGCGCUCUUUGUAGCGGCCGAUGUCAGAUUAGCUAGUUGGUGGGGUAACGGGACUUACCAAGGACGACGAUCUGUAGCGGGUCGUGAGAGGAUGAUCCGCCACACUGGAACUAGAGACACGGUCCAGACUCCUACGGGAGGGCAGCAGUGGGGAAGUUUUGGUAC
rnacentral:rRNA from 1 species